CCUACGGGAGGCAGCAGUGGGGGAUAUUGCACAAUGGGGGAAACCCUGAUGCAGCGACGCCGCGUGGAGGAAGAAGGUUUUCGGAUUGUAAACUCCUGUCGUUAGGGACGAUAAUGACGGUACCUAACAAGAAAGCACCGGCUAACUACGUGACCAGCAG
rnacentral:rRNA from 1 species